CGCAGAAUAUUGUCAAAUGAAAUUGAGUGUUCCUAUUGGCGCAUUAUAUUGUGACGUCAUAUCAAGCGCUCCUAUUGGUUCAGAAUAUUGGAAAGUCGUAGUUUAAACCGGGCCGAGAGGUGACAUACUCCUGAAAGUCGUGGAGCGAAAAUUCGUCUCGUCGAACGUUAUCCUGUUGUUAGUACCUUCAUUUCGACCUUAUCAACGAUUCUACACUUCUAUCUGGUUCAUUCACAUAGUACAUUAUUGGCUGGUCGCAUGACUGAAAUAGAAAAGGCGUUCACAUCACAAACGCCACAAGCGAUUAACGAUCGAUAAUUCGAACUAAAACAAGAUGGAUGUCAUAGAUGAUUAUUAAUAAAUCUAGUCGUUGAUUUCUCAUGCAAAUUUGGUAAUGAUUGAGGUAUUAUAACAAAACAAAGUUUUUCAUAAUUUCUACCUUUUCUUGUGCUUCGAGGAGGACGCAGUGAUGCUUCAAACCUAAGCAUGUUUAUCACUCCUUCCUCUUCCUCCUGCUUCCUGAAAAGGACCUAGUGGUGCUUCACAAGCCAAGAAUUUUUUUCUAUGAUGGGAUUGCAUGACUUGUCUUUGAUGACGGUCUUCACGACGACUUUCCUGGGCUACCAUAGCAUCGAUGACUAUGUUCCUCGCAUCUUAUCGUGAAUCAUAUGCACUUUUG